rnacentral:precursor_RNA from 1 species
UAACACUGGUUUUCGCUUUUUUUUGUCUCUCUCUCUCUCUCUCUCUCUCUUUACUUUUUUAAAAGGAAAAAAAAAAUUAUUUGCAUAAGGAAUGAAAAUAGAGAGAAAGAGGGAGAGAGAGGGAGAAAGAGAGAGAAUAAAUGAUUACGGUA